AACGAACGCUGGCGGCAUGCCUAACACAUGCAAGUCGAACGAGACCUUCGGGUCUAGUGGCGCACGGGUGCGUAACGCGUGGGAACCUGCCCUUAGGUUCGGAAUAACUCCCCGAAAGGGGUGCUAAUACCGGAUAAUGUCUUCGGACCAAAGAUUUAUCGCCUUGGGAUGGGCCCGCGUUGGAUUAGCUAGUUGGUAGGGUAAAAGCCUACCAAGGCGACGAUCCAUAGCUGGUCUGAGAGGAUGAUCAGCCACACUGGGACUGAGACACGGCCCAGACUCCUACGGGAGGCAGCAGUGGGGAAUAUUGGACAAUGGGCGAAAGCCUGAUCCAGCAAUGCCGCGUGAGUGAUGAAGGCCUUAGGGUUGUAAAGCUCUUUUACCCGGGAUGAUAAUGACAGUACCGGGAGAAUAAGCACCGGCUAACUCCGUG
rnacentral:rRNA from 1 species